rnacentral:rRNA from 1 species
GUGGGGAAUCUUGCGCAAUGGGCGAAAGCCUGACGCAGCGACGCCGCGUGGGGGAUGAAUGCCUUCGGGUUGUAAACCCCUUUCGGCAGGGACGAAGCGAUUGUGACGGUACCUGCAGAAGAAGCUCCGGCUAACUACGUGCCAGCAGCCGCGGUAAGACGUAGGGAGCGAGCGUUGUCCGGAUUCAUUGGGCGUAAAGCGCGCGUAGGCGGUUUGGUAAGUCGGAUGUGAAAAUCCGGGGCUCAACCCCGGACCUGCAUCCGAUACUGCCCGACUAGAGGUAGGUAGGGGAGAUCGGAAUUCCUGGUGUAGCGGUGAAAUGCGCAGAUAUCAGGAGGAACACCGGUGGCGAAGGCGGAUCUCUGGGCCUUACCUGACGCUGAGGCGCGAAAGCUAGGGGAGCGAACAGGAUUAGAUACCCUUGUAGUCC